CAAGUUCAUUUAUAUACAAAUUAUCUAUUUGAUAUUAUUCCCAACUUUGUACUUCGUUUAUAUCUAUUUACUCUAUAUUAUAAUGAUCUUACUAUAUUGAACAUAUAUUUGUAUUAUAUGGUUCAAUGAAUCCAAAUACUCUAUCUAGGAUCUUUGAUAUUUACUCACCACUGGCUAUUGGACAAAUUACUUUUCUUAAUAGUUGUUUUAUCUGGUUCUGGCCAGUUUGACAGUUCACCUUUUGACUAUAUAUACUGUAAUUUUUAACUAUAUUGUCAAUGCAGAAUAAGUAACACCAGAAACAACACUAUGAGCCGUAGCCAGCAUUAUAAGGUAUUUAUAGUUUAAGGGUUUUUCAAAUUAAUCUAUGGUUAAAAGUUUUGUCUUAAAUAUUUUAUUUAGUUUCAUUUACUUUGCUAAUUGUAUUUCAAACUUUAUAUUUUCUUUUUUACCUGUAAUAAACUUUCAAUGUUGUAUAGUAUUUUAUUGAGACGUAUGGUCAACUUACUUUAGUGAACAGUUUUCAUUAGCAUUAAUUAACAAAUUGUUUACAUUCAGAGUUGUCAUUUCACUAGUUUUGCAUUAUUAUUUAUUUGCAAUAGUGUAAUCAAACAUAAUAUACAUUAUUUGCUACAAAAUGAUAUAUUCAUAUGCAUUUAUUUGUAAAGUUAUAUUUAUUUGUCAUUAUCUGUAUAUUUCGGAUCUGUCGUUGCCUUCUUUAUAGUACAUAAUAAAGUAUUUGAACGUUC